rnacentral:rRNA from 1 species
UACGGGGGGAGCAAGCGUUGUUCGGAUUUACUGGGCGUAAAGGGCGCGUAGGCGGCCACCGCAAGUCGACUGUGAAAUCUCCGGGCUUAACCCGGAAAGGUCAGCCGAUACUGCGGGGCUAGAGUGCAGAAGGGGCAACUGGAAUUCUCGGUGUAGCGGUGAAAUGCGUAGAUAUCAAGAGGAACACCUGCGGCGAAGGCGGGUUGCUGGGCUGACACUGACGCUGAGGCGCGAAAGCUAGGGGAGCGAACGGG